CAAUAGCGUAUAUUAAAGUUGUUGCGGUUAAAAAGCUCGUAGUUGGAUUUCUGCCGAGGACGACCGGUCCGCCCUCUGGGUGUGUAUCUGGUUUGGCCUGGGCAUCUUCUUGGAGAACGUAGCUGCACUUGACUGUGUGGUGCGGUGUCCAGGACUUUUACUUUGAGGAAAUUAGAGUGUUUCAAGCAGGCACACGCCUUGAAUACAUUAGCAUGGAAUAAUAAGAUAGGACCUCGGUUCUAUUUUGUUGGUUUCUAGAGCUGAGGUAAUGAUUAAUAGGGAUAGUUGGGGGCAUUCGUAUUUAACUGUCAGAGGUGAAAUUCUUGGAUUUGUUAAAGACGCACUACUGCGAAAGCAUUUGCCAGGGAUGUUUUCAUUGA
rnacentral:rRNA from 1 species